rnacentral:rRNA from 1 species
GACGAAAGUCUGACGGAGCAACGCCGCGUGAGUGAAGAGGGUUUUCGGAUCGUAAAGCUCUGUCUUCAGGGACGAAUGUGCUUAAUGUGAAUAAUGUUAAGUAAUGACGGUACCUGAGGAGGAAGCCACGGCUAACUACGUGCCAGCAGCCGCGGUAAUACGUAGGUGGCAAGCGUUGUCCGGAAUUAUUGGGCGUAAAGCGCGCGCAGGCGGGAAUGUAAGUCUGUCUUAAAAGUUCGGGGCUCAACCCCGUGAUGGGAUGGAAACUACAUUUCUUGAGUGCAGGAGAGGAAAGUGGAAUUCCUAGUGUAGCGGUGAAAUGCGUAGAUAUUAGGAGGAACACCAGUGGCGAAGGCGACUUUCUGGACUGUGUCUGACGCUGAGGCGCGAAAGCCAGGGGAGUGAACGGGAUUAGAUACCCCGGUAAUCCUGGCCGUAAACGAUGGGUACUAGGUGUAGGAGGUAUCGACCCCUUCUGUGCCGGAGUUAACGCAAUAAGUACCCCGCCUGGGGAGUAC